AACCUAGCACACCUGCGGUGUGUACCUGCGGAGGGAUCAUUACCUAGAGUUGUAGGCUUUGCCUGCUAUCUCUUACCCAUGUCUUUUGAGUACCUUACGUUUCCUCGGUGGGCUCGCCCACCGAUUGGACAAAUUUAAACCCUUUGCAGUUGAAAUCAGCGUCUGAAAAAACUUAAUAGUUACAACUUUCAACAACGGAUCU
rnacentral:misc_RNA from 1 species